GAUGAACGCUAGCGGCAGGCUUAAUACAUGCAAGUCGAGGGGCAGCAGGUCCCGCAGCAAUGCGGGAUGCUGGCGACCGGCAAACGGGUGCGGAACACGUACAGAACCUUCCUUUAAGUGGGGAAUAGCCCGGGGAAACCCGGAUUAAUACCCCGCAACAUAAUGAAGUGGCAUCACUUUAUUAUUAUAGCAGCAAUUCGCUUGAAGAUGGCUGUGCGGCUGAUUAGGUAGUUGGCGGGGUAACGGCCCACCAAGCCUACGAUCAGUAACUGGUGUGAGAGCACGACCAGUCACACGGGCACUGAGACACGGGCCCGACUCCUACGGGAGGCAGCAGUAAGGAAUAUUGGGCAAUGGACGCAAGUCUGACCCAGCCAUGCCGCGUGGAGGAUGAAGGUCCUCUGGAUUGUAAACUUCUUUUAUCUGGGAAGAAAUCUAUUUUUUCUAAAGUAGUUGACGGUACCAGAUGAAUAAGCACCGGCUAACUCCGUGCCAGCCGCCGCGGUAA
rnacentral:rRNA from 1 species